rnacentral:rRNA from 1 species
AUUGAACGCUGGCGGCAUGCCUUACACAUGCAAGUCGAACGGCAGCGCGGGAGCAAUCCUGGCGGCGAGUGGCGAACGGGUGAGUAAUAUAUCGGAACGUGCCCUGUAGCGGGGGAUAACCUAUCGAAAGAUGGACUAAUACCGCAUACGCUCUACGGAGGAAAGCGGGGGUCGCAAGACCUCGCACUAUAGGAGCGGCCGAUAUCGGAUUAGCUAGNGGCGGGUAAAGCCCACCAAGGCGACGAUCCGUAGCUGGUCUGAGAGGAUGAUCAGCCACACUGGAACUGAGACACGGUCCAGACUCCUACGGGAGGCAGCAGUGGGGAAUUUUGGACAAUGGGCGCAAGCCUGAUCCAGCCAUGCCGCGUGAGUGAAGAAGGCCU